UUUUGCGAUGUCGCCCAGGCUGGUCUCGAACUCCUGGGCUCAAGCGAUCUACACACCUUGGCCUCUCAACUGCUAGGAUUACAGGUGUCAGCCACCACACCCAGCCUAGUGCAUUGGUUUUUUUCAGGGCAGUGGGCAAAACGAACCAGUCGGGCUAUAACUUGACCUACAGAGGAGAGGGAUCACAGAGCUCUUUGAGGAUGCUGGGGCCCUCUCACAAAUUUAUUUCUCAUAGAACGAGCCAGCAUCUCCCUAUGUUGCCCAGGCUGGACUCGAACCUCUGAGCUGAAGUGAUCCUCCCCACUCGGUCUCCCAAAGUGCUGGGAUUACAGGCAUGAGCACUGUGCCUGUUCAAACAACUAAAUAAACCAUGUCUAAAGAAUGAAAAAGAAGUGUCUUUGUUUUCUGUUUCUUAUAACGGAAUACCUGAAACUGGGUUAUUUAUUUAUUUAUUUAUUUUGGAGAUGGAGUCUCACUCUGUUGCCCAGGCUGGAGUGCAGUGGCGUGACCUUGGCUCACUGCAACCUCCGCCUCCCAGGUUCCAGGGAUUCUCCUGCCUCAGCCUCCCCAGUAGCUG
rnacentral:lncRNA from 1 species